GAAGUGUCUGGGAACAAGGUGACUCUUCUGUCUCCGGAGAGGUGUCUCAGGGAGGCAGUUGCAAACUGCAGCAUGGACAAAGAGAAGUUUCUGACAGGUUUGAAAAUUCUGAUAAGGAGCAAAGUCAACGUUUCCGCUCUCCAAUAAACAUGGGACAAGAGAGAAUCCUCAGAGAAUCCCCAGGACAACUCUGGACCUCCCCUUACAAUUUUAAUUGGAACUGCACCCUUCAAAAUUCAAUGGAUUUAAAAAGUUUCCAAUUUUUUGAGUGCAAUCCAUCUCUAGAGCAAAGUAUGACUGAGUAUUUGGAAGGCAGGAUGAAACAGACAACCAGCUAGCCAGGACUGACUGGCCUCAUGCAAAGCAUUGGUAACUCUCCUGGAAGCUCAAUAAUGCUCCCACCAAGCUGGAAUAAAAGUGCUUCUUUAAAACAA